rnacentral:lncRNA from 7 species
CGUGCCCCAGCCCCCGCUACGCUCGUCCUGCCCGUCUUGCUCGGUUCGCAGGCCAGCUGGUGCGUGCGAGUUCCCCCAAGCCAAGCAGCUAGCCGCCCAGCCCCCACGCACACCAUGCAGCACCACAUCCCCCGCGCGCGUCGUGCGCACGUAGCACCAUGCCCAGCCGUUCCGGUCCCACCUGUCAUAAGCAUCUUCAUCCAACCAUCCCCUCCAUUCCCACACGUACAAACACCCCGACGAUCGACUCCAAAAUCGAAACUGCCAGACCCUCACCUCCUCCUCGCCAUGGCUGCUCCGUGCACAGCAACCGCACACUUCUCCAGCGAGCCGUCGACACCGUCGAUCCUCAUCCGCAUUCGUGGUCGCUACGCCCUCCGAUGCCAAGGUAAUCCCAUGCCUU